rnacentral:rRNA from 1 species
AUUGAACGCUGGCGGCAGGCCUAACACAUGCAAGUCGAACGAGUGGCGGACGGGUGAGUAAUGUCUGGGAAACUGCCUGAUGGAGGGGGAUAACUACUGGAAACGGUAGCUAAUACCGCAUACCAUCAGAUGUGCCCAGAGGGGAUGAGCUUGUGUGUGGGGUAACGGCUCACCAAGGCGACGAUCCCUAGCUGGUCUGAGAGGAUGACCAGCCACAUGUGAACUGAGACAAGUUCCAGACUCCUACGGGAGGCAGCAGUGGGGAAUAUUGCACAAUGGGCGCAAGCCUGAUGCAGCCAUGCCGCGGGUAUGAAGAAGGCCUUCGGGUUGUAAAGUACUUUCAGCGGGGAGGCGUUACCCGCAGAAGAAGCACCGGCUAACUCCGUGCCAGCCGCCGCGGUAAUUC